GUAUUUGAGGUCCAGAAGAUGAUGGGAAAGAUGAAAAACCUGAUCACUGCAGAAAAAAAGAAUCAGAAGUACAGCCAGGACCAGAUGCUGAAGAAGAUCGAUUUGAUGUGGAUUCGUAGACUCUAUGGGAUAAAUCAGGCAACAAAGCCAGUGGGAAUUAAGAAGCAGGCAGAAGCAGAGCCAGGAGGUACACAGCUGAUUUAGCAUCUUUAUAGCUAUGAGUUUUCUUUUAAGCUCAUUCCCCUCUAAGAUACAUCUAUUGGUUUUGAAGUUACUGCUCCCUGAGACCAAUCUCAAUGGCGUUCUUGAAC
rnacentral:lncRNA from 1 species